rnacentral:lncRNA from 1 species
CAGGUGCACCCUUGGAGGCCAGGCUGUCGCUGGUGGAAACGUCCUCGCCGCGCACCGCGGGGCUGCAGUUGAAGGCGGGGGUUGGGUAGGGAGGGGAAACCCGGAGGCACCCGGAGGCCGGUCGGGAUCUGUGGUGGGAGCCUGUGCAGGCGAGGAGGCACCGGGAGGAGGAAGGGACUGUUCGAGGCGAGGCGGGAGAGGAGAGGGGCAGGGCUUGGCUGGGCUGGGUGCUGCCUCUCCUGAAACGCAGAAAGACGAAUGGGAACAGAGUCAGGAAUUUUCAGAAGAAAACAGGAAGAAGUCGUUCGAGCUUGGGUUUCCCCCCCAGCGGACCUGAGGCGAGCAUUUGGGUACAACGGGAGUACGGGGCUCGUGCCUGAGCAGGUGUCCAGAGGGCCACAGGGGCUCAGUCUCGCUGAGGACACUCGAGACCGCGUGGAAUCCGCCGCAGCACUGUCCCCAAGAGGCGAGAAGGUGGGGUGCGCACCCAGCCCGCCCACCGCACCCACAGCCCCGCAGGCGGCGAAACCACUGAGCUAAAUCCCCGGCCCAAUAUCCACCUGGGUUAUCAGGCUCCUGAGUCCAGUAUAAAUUUACUCCUAAUGAUUUCAAACCCAUCAGUAAAAUAUGAAGAUGCUGUGGAACCUGUGUGUACCACGAUGAGGGGCUUGGCAGCCUGUGGGAGCUGUAUGGGGUGCAGGGCAGUGCAUGAAGCUGGAGCCCAAGAGGCAGUGAUGCCGGGAAUGCAGGACCCUGGGUACAUGAGUUGGGCUUAGGGUUUCAGUCUGUACCUGUAAAAUGAGAAAAUGAAUUAAAUGUCUCAAAUAUCUACA